rnacentral:rRNA from 1 species
AGUGAACGCUGGCGGUAGGCCUAACACAUGCAAGUCGAACGGCAGCACAGUAAGAGCUUGCUCUUACGGGUGGCGAGUGGCGGACGGGUGAGGAAUACAUCGGAAUCUACUUUUUCGUGGGGGAUAACGUAGGGAAACUUACGCUAAUACCGCAUACGACCUACGGGUGAAAGCAGGGGAUCUUCGGACCUUGCGCGAUUGAAUGAGCCGAUGUCGGAUUAGCUAGUUGGCGGGGUAAAGGCCCACCAAGGCGACGAUCCGUAGCUGGUCUGAGAGGAUGAUCAGCCACACUGGAACUGAGACACGGUCCAGACUCCUAAGGGAGGCAGCAGUGGGGAAUAUUGGACAAGGGGCGCAAGCCUGAUCAAGCCAUACCGCGUGGGUGAAGAAGGCCUUCGGGUUGUAAAGCCCUUUUGUUGGGGAAGAAAAGCAGCAGGUGAAUACCCCGCUGUUCUGACGGUACCCAAAGAAUAAGCACCGGCUAACUUCGUG